rnacentral:sRNA from 1 species
UUGAAAAACUUUUAAGGGUGAUAGGGAACUCGUAAUGUAACUAGGCCUUCAAGUGAAACUUAUUUGCAUGUGCGAGAUGCCAAACUAAAAAUUUUAAUAUCUCUAACAGAUUAGCUUUUCUGGCAAAAAUUUGUUGAAUCCUAUCACCUUUAAAUGGUUUUACUAACAGUUUCAAAAUUUAAAAUUUUGGGGUUGAAGUGUGGGCCAAGCUAAGGUAAUUUUGGUAAGCCUAAACACACUCUUAAAUGUGACGAUCACAAAUGCAGUUCUAAUGUAGCACUUAAUGGCAUCAAUAUUUACACCUACCGCGUUUUCACAAAAUUACACUAUCCACCUGGUACCUAAGUCUUGUCAUGGACUUACAGGUUUGCAUGGGUUCCAAAUACUGGUUUAUGGUACUGUUUUUGGAACUACUUGUGGGACUAUAUUUUGGUGUGGUGUUUGGGUAGUGAAGUUAGUUUGACAUGAAGUUUUGCAUUGGACAGAUCUGCUGUGAAGCAUUCUUUGUUAAAGUGAAUCUAUGGUUGGAAUACCUGCUUUUCACUUGAGCUUUUUGUUUCUUAAUCCUUCUGUGCCUUUUUUUUCUUUUCUUUUUUUUUUUUUUUGGACGAUGGGUGCCAGUUCUUCGGCACAUUCACUGGGCCCAACAGUGAGAUUGAAAAGUUGGGAAAUGCCUCACGCCAUAAAUACUGAUUGAUGAUGAGCCUAAUUUUCCUGUUUCUGCUUUUAGAUCUCCAAGAAGGAGAAGCUUCUCUCGCAGCCGGAGCAGGUAAAUGACUACCUUUUUUGGCUACAUUCUUAGAAAUGGCAGUGUUUCUGCUAUUCCUAAACUUUUCCAGAUGGCUUAGUUAAUGGGAAUAAACCUUGGCUUUAAUAGUGAAUCAGGUUGUAAGGAUGAGUCAGCUUUCUUGGAGUUUUCAAAGGCUUUUUAGAAAGUAUUUAAUUUUUUUAAAAAAGAGGAUCUGUCACCCAGGCUGGAGUGCAGUGGUGUGAUUAUAGCUCACUGUAGCCUUUAACUCCUGGCCUUGGAGUGAUCCUCCCUGUUCAGCCUCCUGAGUAGCUUGGACUUACAGGCACGUACUACCACACCUGGCUAAUUUAUUUUUUGUGGAGAUGGGAUCUCACUUUGCUGUCCAAUCUGUUCUCAAACUCUUGGCUUCAAGUGAGCCUCCUGCUUCUGCCUCCCAAAAUAUUGGAAUUAUUGGCAUGAGCCACCAUGCCAGAUCAAGAAAAUAUUUACAUAUGAUUUUAUCAUACCUUAUUGGUCCUAAUGUGUUCUUGCUCGUUUAGGUCCCUUUCUAGAGAUAGGAGAAGAGAGAGAUCGCUGUCUCGGGAGAGAAAUCACAAGCCGUCCCGAUCCUUCUCUAGGUCUCGUAGGUAAGAUCUUUGAUAACUUGUAUGUAAGACUUUGCAUACAUAGUAUGCUAAGGCCUGUCUUCUAAGCCAUAAAUUUUUUACCUUAAAGUUCUAUUUUGAUAUGUCACUAAGUGUCACCAAGUUACAGAUGUAAUGUUUUCUGUUUUUUUUUUUUUUUUUAGUCGAUCUAGGUCAAAUGAAAGGAAAUAGAAGACAGUUUGCAAGAGAAGUGGUGUACAGGAAAUUACUUCAUUUGACAGGAGUAUGUACAGAAAAUUCAAGUUUUGUUUGAGACUUCAUAAGCUUGGUGCAUUUUUAAGAUGUUUUAGCUGUUCAAAUCUGUUUGUCUCUUGAAACAGUGACACAAAGGUGUAAUUCUCUAUGGUUUGAAAUGGAUCAUACGAGGCAUAUAAUACCAACAAUUGUUACUUUACAAUGUUCCCUUAAGCAAAAUUGAAUUUGCUUUGAACUUUUAGUUAUGCACAGACUGAUAAUAAACCUCUAAACCUGCCCAGCAGAAGUGUGUUUUUUUUUUUUUUAAAUACAGAAACAACUGGCAAAAAUUGAACUAAGAUAUACUUUUUUUUCCAUAGCUGGGAUAUAGGCUGCAGCUAUAGUUGAACAAGCAGUCUUUAAAAACUGCUAUGAAACACAGGCCAUCAGGUAAAAACGAAACGCUGCACUAGAGGUUUUUGAAAAAUCCAACUCACUUUCAUCUUGGGCAGAGGUUGCCUAGUUGGUAUAGAAUGUUAAGUUUCAAGAAAGUUUACCUUUGCUUUAGGUCAUAAGUUCCUUAUUUGAUUGCUGUAUAUGAAUACAUGGCUGUUCGUGACAUUCUUUACGUGCAAAUUUGUGAUUUCAAAAAUGUCCUGCCAGUUUAAGGGUACAUUGUAGAGCCAAACUUUGAGUUACUGUGCAAGAUUUUUUUUUUCAUGCUGUCAUUUGUAAUAUGUUUUGUGAGAAUCCUUGGGAUUAAAGUUUUGGUUACAAAUUGUU